AUUGAACGCUGGCGGCAUGCUUUACACAUGCAAGUCGAACGGUAACAGGGAGCUUGCUCCGCUGACGAGUGGCGAACGGGUGAGUAAUGCGUCGGAACGUGCCGAGUAGUGGGGGAUAACGCAUCGAAAGGUGUGCUAAUACCGCAUACGUACUGAGGUAGAAAGUGGGGGACCUUCGGGCCUCACGCUAUUCGAGCGGCCGGCGUCUGAUUAGCUAGUUGGUGAGGUAAAGGCUCACAAAGGCGACGAUCAGUAGCGGGUCUGAGAGGAUGAUCCGCCACACUGGGACUGAGACACGGCCCAGACUCCUACGGGAGGCAGCAGUGGGGAAUUUUGGACAAUGGGCGCAAGCCUGAUCCAGCCAUGCCGCGUGUCUGAGGAAGGCCUUCGGGUUGUAAAGGACUUUUGUCCGGGAGCAAAUGCCUGGUGUUAAUAGCAUCGGGAGCUGAGAGUACCGGAAGAAUAAGCACCGGCUAACUACGUGCCAGCCGCCGCCGUAACAC
rnacentral:rRNA from 1 species